CAACAAGUUCGACCCAAAAAGCACAGGGCACCCUUUCCCCUCAUCCCCGUCCGCUUCCCUGUUGGCCACUUCAACACUGUCAGCAGCAGCCUUGUCCUUCAUCUCCUCUGGCAGCACAGAGCAUAGAAUGUUCAGUGAGUGCUACUGUUAGCAACAGCAGGGUACAAAACACUGUCAACACUUGUGCUCAGGGUUCCUCCUAUGGUAGAGAUGAUCCUGGCAGCUGUUCUGAGAACAAACUGGGAACCAGUAUGCCUGUACUGAUCUUUAUUCCUGUGUUGAUUAGAAAUAGAAGUAAUCGAGUGUAUUAAUCUUAUGAUUCUAACCAGUCUAAUCUGUUACUUCUCUCACGACGUCCACAGACUGACCAAGAGGCUCCUAUUAUCUUUAUCUUUACCCUACAGUUUAGAUUCUCUUGCAGACGUGGUUAGCAAAAUACAUUUAUGAAUACAUGCUGAACUGGUAAGAAAGGACAAGGAGUAGCUGCUUCAUUUAAAGAUGCAUCACAGUUCAUAGAGAUUACGCUGGGUCAUUUUAUUUCUUUUGAAUAUUCUCAGUUUCAUAUUGCAUUUAGAGACCUCCAAGAUACUCUGAAAACUGUAUUAAUGACUUUGCUGAAGUACUGUCAGUUAUCUCCAUUGAUUUUAACUACUUGACACUUUCAGUCUGGUUAAGGACUUGGCCCUUUCUGAUCAUGUCUGUGUCUUCUUUGACUUACUGAUCAAAUAAAAUUGUAUUAUCCCACUAGGGGAAAUUGGGUUGCAGUCAAGUAUUUAUCCAUCACAAUCAAAUACUACAUAAAAGACAAAGUGCCAGACAGGACAAAGGGACAAGAAAUUAGGGCCAUGAAAUGCAAGACCACUGCAUGAAGACAAAAGAUGAGCCAAAUUGCAGAGUGCACAACAGUGAUUAGUGCCAUAAUGUGUGCAAGUUCAGCCUACUAAUUGCAGUACAAACAAAAGAGUCUUUGAAUGUUUUAGUCUUAUGAGGUGGGACUCCAUAUCUUCUACCUGAAGGUAGAAACCCAAACUCCCUCUGCAAGGGGGUGGUCAGAACAGUCCUAUAUGACGUGGAGCUUCUUUAUGACCUGCCAAUUGUUAAGGUCAGAGAGCUGAGCUUGGUUCACCCCAAUAACUUUACUGGCCACUCUGACAAGCCGACCAGGCCUAUUCUUAUUGGCCAGAUUCAGGGUCCCAAACCAUAGCACAAUACAUCACUCCGGAUGCUCAAGUUUUUGUUAAGACAAGGUACAUCAGCAAGAGCACUAGUGCUU
ensembl:lncRNA